GGUGACCUGAUAUCGACGGCCGCAGCCGGUGACAUUGGAAGCAACACAGAGGAGGAGUUUUAGUUUUUUGUGAAAUCAAGGUUUUGUUUGGAUUGUGAGGUGUUUGGUGUUCAGGCUUUGCUUCGUUUUGAAGGAAGCGAGAGAGAGAGAGUGGGGUUUCUGGUCUGUAAAUUGUACCGCUUGUUGUUAUUCGUUGAAUUUAGAAGUCUUGCGUUCACACGAG
rnacentral:lncRNA from 1 species